CCAUCUUUUUUCUUCGUUUUUCAUUUCUUUUCAUUAUUCAAAAAGGAAAGAGGAAUAACCCAAUAACAAUAAAAAAAAAGAGAUGGAUGGUUGCCCAAGCUCUCUCUAUGCAUUUAUACACAAAUGGAAAUAGAUGUUGUGUAAUUUU
rnacentral:ribozyme from 1 species